AACGCCGCGUGAACGAUGAAGUAUUUCGGUAUGUAAAGUUCUUUUAUUGAAGAAGAAAAAAUAGUGGAAAAACUAUCUUGACGUUAUUCAAUGAAUAAGCCCCGGCUAACUAUGUGCCAGCAGCCGCGGUAAGACAUAGGGGGCGAGCGUUAUCCGGAAUUAUUGGGCGUAAAGGGUGCGUAGGCGGUUAGGAAAGUCUAUAAUUUAAUUUCAGUGCUUAACGCUGUCUUGUUAUAGAAACUACCUUGACUAGAGUUAGAUAGAGGCAAGCGGAAUUCCAUGUGUAGCGGUAAAAUGUGUAAAUAUAUGGAGGAACACCAGAAGCGUAGGCGGCUUGCUGGGUCUUGACUGACGCUGAGGCACGAAAGCGUGGGUAGCAAACAGGAUUAGAUACCCUGGUAGUCCACGCCGUAAACGAUGAGUACUAAGUGUCGGGAUAAAACUCGGUACUGAAGUUAACACAUUAAGUACUCCGCCUGAGUAGUACGUACGCAAGUAUGAAACUUAAAGGAAUUGACGGGACUCCGCACAAGCGGUGGAUCAUGUUGUUUAAUUCGAAGAUACACGAAAAAUCUUACCAGGUCUUGACAUGCUCUGCAAAGCUAUAGAAAUAUAGUGGAGGUUAUCAGGGACACAGGUGGUGCAUGGUUGUCGUCAGUUCGUGUCGUGAGAUGUUAGGUUAAGUCCUAAAACGAGCGCAACCCUUGUCGUUAGUUACCAGCACGUAAUGGUGGGCACUUUAACGAGACUGCCAAUUAAACAUUGGAGGAAGGUGAGGAUUACGUCAAAUCAUCAUGCCCCUUAUGAUCUGGGCUAC
rnacentral:rRNA from 1 species